rnacentral:misc_RNA from 1 species
AACACUGUUAACCUGCGGUACCUGCGGAGGGAUCAUUACUGUGAUUUACUACUACACUGCGUGAGCGGAACGAAAACAACAACACCUAAAAUGUGGAAUAUAGCAUAUAGUCGACAAGGGAAAUCUACGAAAAAACAAACAAAACUUUUAACAACGGAUCU